GAGGGAAAGGCGAAAAGAACCCCGGCGAGGGGAGUGAAAAAGAACCUGAAACCGUGUACGUACAAGCAGUAGGAGCCCCAUCACUCAAGUGCCUCGCACUGAGUGAUGCAAUAACAUCACCGAAAAUAGCGCCGAAUUUGCUAACAAGGUUGGUCGAUUUUUUCAAGCCGUCGCGCAGUGUACCUAGAAGUACACGAGCAACGGAAGUUAAAAAAUCGGGCAAGAUUGAACGCAAAGGCAAGCGGGACAUUUGAGGAUGGGGUGACUGCGUACCUUUUGUAUAAUGGGUCAGCGACUUAUAUUCUGUAGCGAGGUUAACCGUAUAGGGGAGCCGUAGGGAAACCGAGUCUUAACUGGGCGAAUGAGUUGCAGGGUAUAGACCCGAAACCCGGUGAUCUAUCCAUGGGCAGGUUGAAGGUUGGGUAACACUAACUGGAGGACCGAACCGACUAAUGUUGAAAAAUUAGCGGAUGACUUGUGGAUGGGGGUGAAAGGCCAAUCAAACCGGGAGAUAGCUGGUUCUCCCCGAAAGCUAUUUAGGUAGCGCCUCGUGAAUUCAUCUUCGGGGGUAGAGCACUGUUUCGACUAGGGGGUCAUCCCGACUUACCAACUCGAUGCAAACUGCGAAUACCG
rnacentral:rRNA from 1 species